GAGGGAGCCGGGAAGCCGAAGCGGCGAGCGCGCAGGGAGCGCAGCUGCGGGCGUGGGGGCGGCGGGAGCCGUGAAGCCGGCCCGAGAGCGGGGCUGCCGGAGCGGGCGGCGGAGGCAAACGCGACGGGAACAUGCCAUCGCAGUGCAAAGUCCUCUGUGUCCUGCCUUCAGAGUCUCCAGCAUCAUUGCUGUGUGAGGUCUGCUACUUCACGAAAUGAAUGCCGAACCCUUACGAAGAGAUAAAGGUUAUUUGGUACAUAUUGGUGGUCUCUGUCCUUCAGUAUCUGAGGUCUCAUUUCCAGAAAUACCAAGUUUCUGAAAUUUCAAUUUAUGAUUCUUCUACUAAUUACAGAUAUGCAUCUCUUGCUUUCCAAAAAAAAAAAAAACAGUGAUGUAAAGAUGGCUGUGAAAGGAAUGAUGCCAAAAAGAACUGCAAAGAAAUGUCAAGUACAUGACCGCAGCUAGACAAUCCAAGGCAAGAUGAAUGUCAGAAGAUUUUGGCUUCCUGGAAAAAACUCACCAUGGACUUUGGUUAUUCAGAAUUAGCUACUUCUUCUGUAAGGCUAUCAGGCCUAGAGAGACAACACAGUAGCAACUCGGAGUGGCCAGAAAGUACUCUUGAAAUACAAUUUCAAACUAAAAGAAACCGGAGCCCUUGGAAGAAAGCAGUGGUUUAGGAUGUGUACAAAAUGGGCCUUAAACCCUGUCACCCGAGAAAGCAGGAACAAACUUUGGGAUCCAACACAGAGGCCCCCACUGGUCAAAGAUGGGAAAACCUCAGCAUCAGAAAGGAUUUUGUCAAAAAAUGACAACUAAAAGAAAAAACCUAGCUGGUUACCACUGAAGGAUGCUAUUUUGAAAACUGGUAAGUACAUAAAGAGAAGGAAUUAAACACUUCUCCUACUUUUCCCAUGUGAACCAUACCACAGCAUAACCAAAUAGCAGAUAAUGGGAAGCCUAUGUCCUUACAGAAGCAUUCCAGUUAGCAAAGGAAAGAAAAUUAGAUUACCACCAUUUUGCAAUUCUUAAUGAAUUACUGGAUCUAGCAUCAAUAGCUACAUAUAUCACAAAACGAGAUAACUGACACGUGUGCCUCCUGAAAACACAACUUUCCGCAGCCUGUGCAACAGCCUCGACCCACCCCACAGCCUCUGGACCAACCAUCAAUUUCCGGGAAAUACAGAGGACUGAGCAGCAGGUCAAACUGGACCACAGAGCUGCGAUCCUCAAAAGCCAGACUAUGAGAAACCAAAUGACCCAGUUUCCCCAAUCAAUAAAUCCCAAAUGAAAGCCACAACAAAAAAGAUGGAUGAGAAAUCCACAGAUCAAAACAGAAACAAGCAGAAUGAAGCCAUUAUACCAAAGUAAAUGAUAAUGUUUAGGAUGCAGGAUAGCCUAAGAGGGAGUCACACCAACUCCCAUAACUUUGAAUGCAUGACUAAAACUAUGUAGCUUUCAAUUUUUUUAAAAUGGAGUCACCAGUCAAAAUAAAGAGUGAAACUUAAUGACUACAUAUGCAAUCCUAACAAUAAUUCUUCUGCAGCCUUCUGUAACUUCAGCCAUUUCUAAAGUUUAAAAGACACCUCUAUGUUGAGACUUACCUGUAAAUAAGCAGAACAACCUGACCUAAAAUGAAUCCAAGGCUUGAGAGUGCAGAAUAGGCAUAUCAGGCUUUACAGCAAAAGAUCAGAGUGCCUGUCCUCGUCCCACGCCACUUCCUAACUGACCUCAGGCAAGCACAACAGGCAAGAAAGUUGACGUUAACCAAGAAGCAAAGGCACUGGGUCAGGCAGUUCUCUGCACAGUCCCCCCUGGAGCCAACUGUCCAGCAGGGAAAUAGUUACGACUGUGACUGAUGUUGGGAAAAAAGCACAGAACGCUGAGACGUGAGCCACUGCGAUGGGGGGAAAUAUGACACAGCUCUCAGAGGGGACGAGGCAGAGGACACACGGGGAACCCCUCCUGAGCACUUAACCUCCGAUUUUCUUCCUUUCUUUUCAUCUAUCUUUAGAUGACACUAAUAAAACUAAGACUAUUUACUAGGUAAAAUAAAUUUAUUGAUAUUUAAUUAGGAACUAUGGACCUCACAACAUGAAGGAAAAUAAGCCUUGGCAUCAUUUAAGGCUAUACCGAUGAAGCAAGGAGAGAAAGGAACACUUAACGACAAGCCGCAAUACAAAAGGAGAAGGUGUGUGCAAUCCUGUUUAACAACCUUCGCAUCUUUUGUCACAGUUUAACUUGCGCACACACGUACACACAUAAGUGUUGCGAUAAUCCAACAGACGUCUGCACCCGGCACUGUGGGGUUAAUUCUCUGACUCCCACACAGCAGGUGGUCACAAUCUAACAGCAAUAUUUACUAGGAGAGUCUGACAGCUUCCUAGGGAACAUCCCUAGAGCUUCUAGAAGGAUGCUACACGUGAGAUCUAGAAAGAUGCUACACGUGAGAAAAACAAAUAGUCUGAAAAACUGAAAUGUUUCAGUCAAGCUUACAUGAUUUUAAUUUUUAAAAACAAAUCCAAAGAACAGUAUUUUAUUUCAGCGGUCUUCUAUGAGCAAUUUGAUAUACAAAAACUGUUUUCUUAAAAGUCUCAACCAUAAGAAAAUACUUUUUAUUCUUUGAGAUUUCUUUAAAUGUUUUUAUUAUCAACAUCACCUCUCUGUAAUUUGUAUUUAGCUACCACACCUCAAAUUAUUUGCUUUAAUUAAAACUAUAAUAAUUAAAA